AACGAACGCUGGCGGCAUGCCUAACACAUGCAAGUCGAACGAGACCUUCGGGUCUUGUGGCGCACGGGUGCGUAACGCGUGGGAACCUGCCCUUAGGUUCGGAAUAACUCUCCGAAAGGGGUGCUAAUACCGGAUAAUGUCUUCGGACCAAAGAUUUAUCGCCUCUGGUUGGGCCCGCGUUGGAUUAGCUAGUUGGUAGGGUAAAAGCCGACCAAGGCGACGAUCCAUAGCUGGUCUGAGAGGAGGGUCAGCCACACUGGGACUGGGACACGGCCCAGACUCCUCCGGGAGGCAGCAGUGGGGAAUAUUGGACCGUGGGCGAAAGCCUGAUCCAGCAAUGCCGCGUGAGUGAUGAAGGCCUUAGGGUUGUAAAGCUCUUUUACCCGGGCUGAUAAUGACAGUACCGGGAGAAUAAGCUCCGGCUAACUCCGUG
rnacentral:rRNA from 1 species